GAAACUUGCCCCGAGAUGAGUUCUCCCUGACUCCCUGAGAGUCCUGAAGGAACGUUGAAGACGACGACGUUGAUAGGCCGGGUGUGUAAGCGCAGCGAUGCGUUGAGCUAACCGGUACUAAUGAACCGUGAGGCUUAACCUUACAACGCCGAAGCUGUU
rnacentral:rRNA from 1 species